CCUUCAUGUGCCGCCAGGAGGGCACUGAUGAGAAUCGUCCGCAUCGCAUCGGGGACGCUUGACUCCCCGGUCCCUGUCCGCUUUCCUCCCCACAGUAUCGCUGGGCGGGCAGCUGCUCGGGCCCCAGGAUGCAGAAUGUGAUUAACACAGUGAAGGGAAAGGCACUGGAAGUGGCUGAGUACCUGACCCCAGUCCUCAAGAAAUCAAAAUUUAAGGAAACAGGUGUAAUCACCCCAGAAGUGUUUGUGGCAGCUGGAGAUCACUUAGUCCACCACUGCCCAACAUGGCAAUGAGCUACAGGGGAAGAAUUAAAAGUGAAAACAUACCUAUCAACAGGCAAACAAUUUUUGGUAACCAAAAAUGUGCCAUGCUACAAACGCGGUAAACAGAUGGAAUAUUCAGAUGAAUUGGAAGCUAUCAUUGAAGAUGAUGAUGGUGAUGGGGGAUGGGUAGAUACAUAUCACAACACAAGUAUUGCAGGAAUAACUGAAGCAGUUAAGGAGAUUACAUUGGAAAACAAAGAGUAUAAAACUCCAAGAUUGCUCAGCACUCUGUGAAGAGGAAGAAGAGGAAGAUGAAGGAGAAGCUGCAGACAUGGAAGAAUAUAAAGAAAGUGGAUUGUUGGAAACAGAUGAGGCUACUUUAGAUACAAGGAAAAUAGUAGAAGCUUGUAAAGCUAAAACUGAUGCAGGAGGUGAAUGUGCUAUUUUACAGACGAGAACUUACAACUUAUACAUCACUUAUGGUAAGUAUUACCAGGCACCGUGACUAUGGUUGUUCGGCUGUGAUGAGCAACGGCAACCUUUAACAGUUGAGCACAUGUAUGAAGACAUCAGUAAAGAUCAUGUGAAGAAAAGUGACCAUUGAAAAUCACCCUCAUCUCCCUCCACCUCCUAUGUGUUCCGUUCACCCAUGCAGGCAUGCUGAAGUGAUGAAGAAAAUCAUUUAGACAGUUGCAGAAGGAGGAGGAGAGCUUGAUGUUCAUAUGUAUCUUCUAAUUUUUUUGAAAUUUGUACAAGCUGUCAUUCCAACAAUAAAAUAUGACUACACAAGACACUUCACAAUGUAACAAAGAGAACGUAGAAUCUAUCCUAAUUAUUGAUUCUGAUUUUUAAAGAAUUAACCCAUAGAUGUGACCAUUGACCAUAUUUACCAAUAUGUACAAUUUCUUUUUUUUUUCUUGUACAAUUUCUCUAAUAAAGGGAGUUAUAUGUUUAUGCAUUAAAUUUAAAAAGUAUGGGGGUAUACAGAAAGAAAGUAAAGAAUUAAAAAUUAAAAGGUAAAAUAAAAAAUGAUGCAAAGAAUAAUAAAGACAAUUUCCUAUUAUUUUGGAUGCGUGGCUUUUUUCCUCAGCCUAGGAUUAAGGAGAAGAGCUCAAAUCAGGACAUGUUUCUGUUCAUGCUGGAAGUCUUAAGGUGGCACUCCGCCCCCAGAACAGUGCUGGGUAUAGAGAUCUGCCUACAGUGAGACCAUGAUACCAAUGUGGGCUUCCCAUCCUGUGUAACUCAGGCCGAACCUGGCCUCUGACCGCAGGAACCAGAUCUGUGUUCACCAGCCCCUGCCUCUCUUUGCCUCAUGCACUCUGGGAAUUUGGCAAUGCGAAGCAGCCAAGGGCCUGCACUGGGACCCAGAUUCAAACACUCAGCCCUUUCCCAUAAUGGCAUCCCCACCAGCUCCUUCUGUGGGCUGCAGCUGCCGGCGCUUGUACCAAAGUCAUUCCCCACCAUCCGUUGACCAUGGAAGGCUGUUCCAGAAGCAGUGUCCUAUCCAACUGCAGAUGGCUCUCCUGGUCCUGAUGCAGUUUUCGGUUCUCUGUGAGCAAAAAAGUUGCUAGUUUUUCUUUGCCU
rnacentral:lncRNA from 1 species